CGGGGUGGAGUAAUGUCUGGGAAACUGCCUGAUGGAGGGGGAUAACUACUGGAAACGGUAGCUAAUACCGCAUAACGUCGCAAGACCAAAGUGGGGGACCUUCGGGCCUCAUGCCAUCAGAUGUGCCCAGAUGGGAUUAGCUAGUAGGUGGGGUAACGGCUCACCUAGGCGACGACCCCUAGCUGGUCUGAGAGGAUGACCAGCCACACUGGAACUGAGACACGGUCCAG
rnacentral:rRNA from 1 species